GAUGAACGCUGGCGGCGUGCCUAAUACAUGCAAGUCGAGCGAAUGGAUUAAGAGCUUGCUCUUAUGAAGUUAGCGGCGGACGGGUGAGUAACACGUGGGUAACCUGCCCAUAAGACUGGGAUAACUCCGGGAAACCGGGGCUAAUACCGGAUAACAUUUUGAACCGCAUGGUUCGAAAUUGAAAGGCGGCUUCGGCUGUCACUUAUGGAUGGACCCGCGUCGCAUUAGCUAGUUGGGGAGGUAACGGCUCACCAAGGCAACGAUGCGUAGCCGACCUGAGAGGGUGAUCGGCCACACUGGGACUGAGACACGGCCCAGACUCCUACGGGAGGCAGCAGUAGGGAAUCUUCCGCAAUGGACGAAAGUCUGACGGAGCAACGCCGCGUGAGUGAUGAAGGCUUUCGGGUCGUAAAACUCUGUUGUUAGGGAAGAACAAGUGCUAGUUGAAUAAGCUGGCAUCUUGACAGUACCUAACCAGAAAGCCACGGCUAACUACGUGCCAGCCGCCGCCGUAA
rnacentral:rRNA from 1 species